UUAAAUCAUACACUAUUUUUAGCCCUUGCGCAAAUGAGUUGGAGAUGGGCAGACAACGAAAUGGGGCGUGGUCAGAUAGUGGGCGGGGUUGGAUGUUUGACUCCACCCUCAAAUGGUAUUGAUUGGAUAAUCUUCCACAUGUCUGUUUCACUCAGUAGUGGUUUUACUCCUGAAGUGAGUUAGUUUUAAAGUUGCCUUUUUGACAGACAUUGUCUAUGUGAUUCACUACAGAGACAGCGAUGGAAAAUUCAUGGCAGGUGUUUUAGAGAAUGCAGUUAUUCCCUUAAGAAUGCAGAAUGGUGACAAUCAACAAAUUCCAGUCAGUCAAAAAUAUGUAAACAGUAGAGCCUCAAAAAUCAGAUAACUGGCAAGUCAAGGCUCUCUCCAACCACCAGGUCCAAUUUAUAUAAAAUUAUAUUGAAUCAAAUGCUAAACUAGAAGCUUCUGAAUGACCCAGCGACGUCUCCAUCUGUAACUAUUUAUCCAUCUUUUUGCAUGAAACUGUACAUGAAUCACCUCUCGUCAGUCGUUAAGAGUGUGUGAAUGUGAAUCUGACUACAGAAGGAUGGUGGUUUAAUAGCCCGGUUCCCCAUAAGGCGCGAUGUUAUUGAUGUAUUGAACCAGUCAGUUAAUACUAUCCACUCAUCAGCAGUCCAUUUGUCCGACCAAAGAAAGCCUCAGUAAGUUUAAACUCAGAGAUAAUGUUUUAAUAUGAUCUGAAAAAAUCAAAUUCUCAGAUACUUUUUUUUCUUCUUUUUUUUUUUCCAUAUCCAUUUACACUCAGAACAAACUACAGAGGCUUCAUCAUCACAGCUUCUGGAAUAAAAACAUAAGAGCAGCUUUGUGUAACCUGUUAUUAGUCAAAGCAGUUUCCAUUCUGAGCCUGUUCCUCUCGCUCUGCCCACACAGUCUGCAUCUGCGUGUUUGUCACUGCGAAUUAGAAAGAGCGCUAACGCCGCUUCCUAGAGUGUGUGAAUGCCUUUCUCAGGGUCAAACACUUCGUCGGCUGCCGCGUCCAUCUCAGCGUCUGUGUGUUUGUGCAGGGCGGCGGCGGAGGUAAGGUGCGGUGGCCGGACCCUCACCGAGACGGCGCGGGAAGCUUUCUGCGUUCCUCCCUAACCCGGUUAGUUUAUCUUAUUUAGCGGCGGGGCGAGAAAGGGCCGCAGCUGCUCAUUUGCUUUGCCAGCUUCAACAGAUUGGAUUCCUGCAGUUCGAGCUCGCCUUUUCCAAAACCAGCCACCGCAUACGCGGGCUCUCCUUCUGCUAGCCGCUACAGCGGCGCCGUAAAUCAUCCCUCGUCAGCUGCCUGGCUCAUGGGACGGACUAAUCUCUCCUCCUCUGGCUCUUUAUAAAAAGUGACUUGUUAUCCGCUUGGCCUGAGGGGCGUUUAGGGGACCUUCUGAGCUGGAAAACUGCCCAGGUGGGAAACAAAGAGCUACAACCUGAGUGUGACUGGUAUCGGCUUCCGUGAGGCAGAUAGCAACACUUCCGCAACCUGAUGGCUCUCGCGCUGAAUACAUUAACCGCUGAUCUGUCACAGAAUGUAUCUCCUGCUUUUUAUGUUUGUUUUUUUUUUUUUUUUUUUUUUUUUUUUUAAUUUUAAGGAUCCAACCGGAUCAUCUUGGGUGCCUUUCUGUGAAACAAAUAAUUAAACUACAAAUGAAAAUGGCUGCAUGCGGUGUAAGAGCGCUCCUUUGCAGACCGGGCGCCAUUGAUUUUUCGACUUCCUGCAGCUCAUUGUUUUGCUUUUACGACGCAGUUACAAUAAAAAUCACUCUUAACUCUCUAAUUACCCCCCAUUCCCAGGUCGGUCUUUGUUGUUGAGAAACAAACAGCUAAACACAAUCCCAAUUACAGGCUGAAGUAAUGCCGGUAGGGGCUUCACUAAAGUAUUCACACCGCAUUUUUACGUUUCAUCAUAUUAGAACCACCGACUGCAAUUUUUUUUUUUAUUAGGCAAGGGAAGUACAUAAUUGUAAAGUGGAUUUUUACUAUUAUUUAUAAUAAAUUUAUAUAAAAUGGUCCAAUCAAAAUUCUGAUCUACCAGCAGCCGAGAGACUUGAAAAUGGAUAGGCUACGGGGACUAAAGAAAAAUUUCAGACUCUAAAUUUGCUGAGACAAACCAAAGGUUUUGCAGCCGUAACAGCUGCUGAACAGAAAUGCGCUCUCCUCUGUUCUGUCUUUUACUGGUCAAAAACCUUUAAACUCUUUUCCUCCCUCUAUACAACUAUGUGCUACCUUGUGUUGGGUUAUUGCAUAAAAUCCCAAGAGAACAUGUCAACAUUGUGUAUGCAGCAAUACAAAAUGUAAAAAAGAAAAGAAAACUAGCAGGUUUGAAAACUUUCGCUGCACUUUUAUAGACUUGAAAAGUUCACAAAAGCCACAGAACCGAGGAUUCGCCCGACACCAUAGAACUGAGCUUCACACUCUUACGAUGUGAAGUCCUUCUACCUGUCAGGGAACUGGGUUGCUCCUGUCUGUGUGGUGCUUUUUCCGGUGCCUGUAGGUUUCUCCCCGGAUGGUGGGGGCGAGAAGGUUUGCUCCCACACGCCUGCGGAUCAUCAGCCAUCAGCCUUGGAGGAUAAGAGGAGCGAGCUGCUGAUCGUUCUUCGCCUGCGUGUUAGCUUAAGUGGUAUUUCUCUGCGUCUCCUGCUGGAAUAUCGUCCUCUGAACCCACGUCUUACUGCUGGAAGAACAAGUCCCCCUGGAUCAUCCUCCACAGUCAGCAGCUUAGAUCCAAACCGCCAUCAUCCUCCAAGCCGAGACUCGACUACCACACAGACCGGCAACCCAGAACGCUCUCCUUCCUCCAGCAAGAUUAUUCCAUCAUCCUUAUUAUCACGGUCUUCUUCCCAACUCUAUAUUGCCCUCCUUCCACAGAACCUUGGGAAAAGUCUGGACUUUAUUCCAUCUGUAACAAUAAACCUGAUGAACUUUU